rnacentral:tRNA from 1 species
AAGACAUUAGUAAAAUGUAAAUUACAUCACCUUGUCAAGAUGAUAUUGCAGGUUAAAUUCCUGCAUGUCUUA